rnacentral:rRNA from 1 species
CCUANGGGGGGCUGCAGUCGAGAAUCUUCCGCAAUGGACGAAAGUCUGACGGAGCGACGCCGCGUGCGGGAUGAAGGCCCUUGGGUUGUAAACCGCUGUCAGAGGGGAUGAAAUCUUCGGAGGUACUCCUCCGAAGUUGACAAAGCCUCAAAGGAAGCACGGGCUAAGUACGUGCCAGCAGCCGCGGUAACACGUACUGUGCGAACGUUAUUCGGAAUCACUGGGCUUAAAGGGUGCGUAGGCGGCGAUUCAAGUCAGGUGUGAAAUGCCUGAGCUCAACUGAGGCAUUGCGCUUGAAACUGAAUUGCUAGAGUAUCCCAGGGGUGUGCGGAACUGCCAGUGGAACGGUGAAAUGUGUUGAGAUUGGCAGGAACACCGGAGGCGAAAGCGGCACACUGGGGGAUAACUGACGCUGAGGCACGAAAGCCAAGGGAGCGAACGGGAUUAGAUACCCCANUANUC